CAAAACAAAGAGCUCUGAUCAUUAUUUACACCCAAAACAAACACACAUCAUUUAUCAGCCACUUAUAUGAAAUAUCUUUUCACGUAUACGUCUUUUAUACGAAACAAGACACCUGGCGAGCCCAAGCUCUAACAACUUAUGACCAAACAACAAUAAAAUCACCACAAAAUGAAGAACACAAAAAAAUGAAUAUUUUUACAACUCUAAGAUACGGUAUAAACCACAAACAUUCAUCCAACAAUAUUAACUUCACACAAUCUAAUCAGCAUCAGAAAACAACUUAAACUAAAGCACCCAAUAUUUACAUAUAUCCUCAAAACAAAGCAGCAACUAAUAUAAUCUUGAUAUAAUACCAAACAUUCAACCAAUAUCAACCAAUUAUAUCUUCACAAACAGAUAUAACUCAACAACCAAAACAACAAAUUACAACCAAUAAACCCUGAUCAAUUAAGAUCACCACAAUUAUAUUCAACCACUUCAACAAACCAACAAAACUGACUUCAAAACAACAAAAUUCUCUUCAAAACAACAAAAUUCUCUUCCCAAUAAAAAAAUAACCCCUCACACUAUAAGCGUGUGUCUCCUAACUGAUGUAAAAUCUCUCUCUAAACGCGCAUAUUUGCUAGCUGAAACGACUUGACAUUUAAACAUGUAUACAUAUUUUAUACUCCCAGCAACAGGUUUAUAAAUGAAACUGUACAUUGAAAUAUGAUACACUUCAGUGUAUCGCUGACUCGUUGUAAAAAAAAACUAUCUACAGUGAAACUGUGAUUAUUCUGACAACACUCAAAUGUCACAGUACCUAUAACCAUGACACGAACAUGUAAAUGUAUGAUUGCGCUGUCUUGACAAAUGAUUAAAUUACGUUUGAGUUGAGUUUUAUCUGUAGAAUUUCAGUUUGCUGCUUUUUUUUAUUAAUCUUAUGCAAACAAAGGCUCAAGUUAUCAUCCCAGAACAGUACAGUUUUUACAAAUACCUUUAUAUUGACAUGCGAGACAGUUUAUACAAGUCAUGCACAUUUGCAAGAUAUUAGUCGAUGCGAGCUGUCCGUUAUUAAUUUGAACAAAUAGCUUGAAACUAGUCAUCUGGAAAAUUUCAUGGUCAUGUGAUUAAAUGAUUCGAAAGAAUGGCUGACGUCAUUUCUGGUGACAGUGCGGACUCGGAUGUCGAGGAAAAUCUUGGGAUACUGCGACCUACAGUUUUAGAACAUAUCAAAGAAAUUCUGCGUGAAUACAGGAACGAUGUUCAAAUCAUAAAGGAACUUAUCCAAAAUGCUGACGAUGCUGGAGCAUCACAGAUGAAAAUAUUGUACCAAGCUAGAUGUUUGAACCCAGAACAUGCAGCCGAGAAGAAAUUUAGAAAAUUUCUAAGGGUAAGUUUAUCAAAUUAUUAUAGAGUUAUUUAGUUCAUUUAUUAUGACAUCCGCAGAUUUGUUCAUGCGGCGGUUAUCAUGGAACCUUCAAUGUGACACAGUCACAUUUCAUGACAACAGCGUAUGGUUCCCAAGUAAAAGGACUUUAUCAACUCAUAAUUGGGACAAGGACUUGAUAACAUAAUUUUCUAUUCUUUUGUAUCAUAAGAUGUGAUAUAAAGUAAAUGAUACUGAACAUGUUUUUUUAAAGCAAGUCUCCCAUAAGGGCCAUCUUAAUCCUUCACUCGAGUAACAUAAGAGAACUCAGAAAAUAAAUGAAAAUUGGAACGUUUCUUGCAUAAUUUAUUUGUUUUCUAAUUCAACAUUUUUCUUAAAUAUAUCAUUGAAAAUUUCUUUGCCCACAUGUCUGCCAUUAAUCAAGUGGCAACCAAAUUUCGCCAGUACCAGUAGUUGGCA